GACGAACGCUGGCGGCGUGCUUAACACAUGCAAGUCGAACGGAAAGGCCCUGCUUUUGUGGGGUUCUCGAGUGGCGAACGGGUGAGUAACACGUGAGUAACCUGCCCUUGACUUUGGGAUAACUUCAGGAGACUGGGGCUAAUACCGGAUAGGAGCUCCUGCUGCAUGGUGGGGGUUGGUAAGUUUCGGCGGUUGGGGAUGGACUCGCGGCUUAUCAGCUUGUUGGUGGGGUAGUGGCUUACCAAGGCUUCGACGGGUAGCCGGCCUGAGAGGGGGAACGGCGACAUUGGGACUGAGAUACGGCCCAGACUCCUACGGGAGGCAGCAGUGGGGAAUAUUGCACAAUGGGCGGAAGCCUGAUGCAGCGACGCCGCGUGCGGGAUGACGGCCUUCGGGUUGUAAACCGCUUUCGCCUGUGACGAAGCGUGAGUGACGGUAAUGGGUAAAGAAGCACCGGCUAACUACGUG
rnacentral:rRNA from 1 species